rnacentral:tRNA from 1 species
UCCGAUAUGGUGUAGGGGUUAACAUCGUCCGCUUUCAGAUCUUGGAGCCGGACAGCCCCGGGUUCGAUUCCCGGUAUCGGAA